CCCAGCUAGAAGAGACAAGCUUUAUAAUAGAAAUGGCACUGCAAAUAGGUACACAUGACUUUACUGUGUGUUGGUCUCAGUCUAAGAUCCCUAGAGGUUAGCUCGCAAUAUCCUCCUAGCCUCAGCUUCCCCAGUGCUAGAGAACAAUUAUGUCUAAGCAAGAGAGUUACAUAAGGAUAAAAUGACAUCAUUUGGUGCCAAGCCAGGGGGCUGAACACCUGAUGGAGAGGGAUCUCCACUGACUGCAGCCAAACAAAUGCUUGAGAAUUAAUAUCCAUCACUGCCUGAUAAUCCUUGGCUGGAAGAAGAGCAGUUUUGAGGUACUACAGUCAUUUAAAUUCCUCAGUUAUUAAUUUUAUACAGAGUUAUUUUGCUGUGGGUUUUUUUUUUGGUAAUUAGAUGCUGUAAAUUUUUUGUGAUUUUUCUCUUCUUUGUAAUUAGAAAUAGCGAUUAGAGUAUCUUUUAUAUUACAUGGCAUUUUUUUUCUUUAAACAAUUGUAUACAUUUUGUAUUCUUUCCUUUUCUCCACACAGACUUUAAUGAGAAUGGGUUCAUUGUGUACCAUAAUUUGCUAUUAUUAUAGUGUGUCAUGAAAAUGAGUUAUUUCCGUCACAGAAAUAUAAUGCCCAGUGUAAUGUAUUUUUUGCUACUGGGUUUUUUUUUUUCUCUCUCUCUAGGGACAGGGAAAUAUGUUUGCCAAAUCUGAAGCCCACUUGAACCUGAAAGGCUGGAUUACCCAGCCCAGGCCUCUGGAGUCUGAAAUAGCCUCCUGUUGUUCUGUGCUGCAUGGCACACACUCCAGGCAGUGGAGAGGUAAGUUCCAUGUCUCUCUGUUGGGAUGCAUAAUUUCAGUGGUGUGUUCUCAGCAAAUGGCAUCCAUUCAAACCAGGAGAAGUAAACCAGACUUUAAGUCUGCUUAAAGUCUGCUUAAGUGUGCUUUAAGAAGAGCACACUGACUCUUCUUAAAAUUUGGAGCUGGGAGCACGGGUCUGUGGUGGAGCAGUUGUGUAAGUGGGAGCUCGGCUCUGUGGUGGAACAGUUGUGUAAGUGGGAGCACAGUUCUGUGGUGGAGCAGUUGUGUAAGUGGGAGCUCGGUUCUGUGGUGGAGCACUGGUGUAAGGGGGAGCACAGCUCUGUGGUGGAGCACUUGUGUAAGUGGGAGCUCAGUUCUGUGGUGGAGCACUGGUGUAAGGGGGAACAUGGCUCUGUGGUGGAGCACUUGUGUGUGUAAGGGGGAGUACAGGUUUAUGGUGGAGCCCUUGUGUAAGUACGCACAAGGCUGUGAGUUCAGUUUCCAGCACAAAAAAAAUAGCAAAUAAAAGUGAAGAGCCUGGGCCAGGGCUGAGGGCUAGUAAGGAAAUCUGCCUUGUCCCUGCUGCUGAGGGUGCUUCACUCAUGCAGAAGACAGCAUGAGGCACAGGCUGGCUUACUCAUGGAACAUGCUUAGGGCUGCCAGCCAGGGUAGACACCCUAUCAACUCCAGCCUGCCAACUCACAUAACAGCUAAGGCAAGGAAAGGGAUAGACAGACACCCCCCAACACACAUGGCUGCCCAGUGGCUGGGUUCUUCUCUGUUCUCUCACCCACCAGUUGAGGCAUCCUCCACAAGAGGUUGUUCCUGGGGUAGAGACGAAAUAUGAGCAUGCCCAGUGCAAAGCAAGCGAGGCCACUGAGGGCUCUCUUUGCUGCAACAUCUCAUGACUCUGGUUAGGAGGAAGAGAAGCGAGCGGUAUGUGCUUCCCCAUGAUCCCUGCUGUUGAAUUUAGAUGGCUAUUGGAGAGCCUGUUAUAUCUGUCCCCACACAGAUGUCCCACUGGAUGCUCUGAGAUGCAUUCCAGUCUCCAGCAUGUUGGUGAGGGAUUUGGAUCUGCAGGGACCCGCUGGAGGGGUCAGGCCCUGGGUCUAGCCCAUGAAGCUGACCCUCUUCCCACAGCAGACAGAAGCAAGGGCCCUGGGACGCUAGCUGGGGGAGGUCCUCCUCUCCUGGGAUGCUAGCUGAGGGAAGUCCUCCUCUGGCCCUGGGAUGCUAGCUGGGGGAGGUCCUCCUCUGGCCCUGGGACGCUAGCUGAGGGAGGUCCUCCUCUGGCCCUGGGAUGCUUGCUGCGGGAGGUCCUCCUCUGGCCCUGGGAUGCUAGCUAAGGGAGGUCCUCCUCUGGCCCUGGGAUGCUUGCUGGGGGAGGUCCUCCUCUGGCCCUGGGAUGCAAAGCCUCAUGCUUUCUCUCAUCUACUAUUCUCCUAGAAGCUUUGGGAAAGGCUUCCUUGGGGGACAAUUCUUAGCAUGUCACAUAGAGAAAACAGAGAUGCUUGGUAAAUGGUGAUGCCAUGCAAUACCUGGUUUGAGCAUGUGUUCAGUGUGGGGAGCAGGUUGAGGUUGGGAAGAGAGGAGAGUGUGAAGUCAGGGGCCAUACCAUUGCCUCUGGAGCAAUCUCUUCCUCAGCCAGACCUGAUUCCAUGCAUCCUGGCCAGGAAACCAGACUCAGAGCUGAGAGUCCAGUGCCGUUUCUUACAGCCAUGACCUUGGGCAAAUUACUCAACUCCAAGAUGCUCCUGUUUCUUCAUCUGUAGUAGAUCAGCUCAUGAGGCUAUGGUGAAGAAUUAGCAUGCUCCCCUAGAGUCCACAGAUACUCCAGGACAAGCCUUGUAUUUGUCUUCAUAUAGUGUUCACGAAGGUGCCAGUUCCCAGGUCAGGGACAGAAACCCACAAAGCUCCCUUGGCUAAGCCAGGCAACUGCAACAGAGUGUCCAGAACAGGGAUAUUUUCUAACCUGUCUAUCUAGAGAAGCCCUGCUGUAGUUUGGAUGCUAAAUGUCCCCAACAGACCAUGUAUUGAAAGUUUGGAUCCAAGAUGGCCCUAUAGGAAGGUGGUGGAACAUUUGGGAAAUAAGGCUUGGUGGGAGGUCUUUAGGUUAUUGGGAGCAUGUCCUUAAAACUUUCCUUCCUCUCUUUCAC